rnacentral:rRNA from 1 species
GAUGAACGCUGGCGGCGUGCCUAAUACAUGCAAGUCGAGCGAACAGACGCGGAGCUUGCUCCUUUCACGUUAGCGGCGGACGGGUGAGUAACACGUGGAUAACCUACCUAUAAGACUGGGAUAAUUUCGGGACACCGGAGCUAACACCGGAUAAUAUAUUGAACCGCAGGGGUGAAUAGUGAAAUACGGUUUUGCGGUCAGUUAUAGAUGGAUCCGCGCCGCAUUAGCUAGUUGGUAAGGUAACGGCUUACCAAGGCAACGAUGCGUAGCCGACCUGAGAGGGGGGUAGGCCACACGGGAACUUGAACGCGCUCAAGAGUACUGCGGGACGCCGCAGUCGGGAAUCUUCCGCAAUGGUCGAGAGCCUUGCGGAGCGACGCCGCGUGAGUUGUGGAGGUCUUCGGAUCGUGAAGCUCUGUUAUGAGGUGAGAACAGAUUUGGAAGGAGCCGUACACGUCUUGACGGUACCUAAUCAGAAAGCCACGGCUAACUACGUG